rnacentral:rRNA from 1 species
ACACGGUGACGUGGGGCGGAUCCCUGAAAACCGGUACUCAGUUCGGAUCGCAGUCUGCAACUCGACUGCGUGAAGGUGGAGUCGCUAGUAAUCGCGGAUCAGCAUGCCGCGGUGAAUACGUUCCCGGGCCUUGUACACACCGCCCGUCACACCAUGGAAGUCUGCAAUGCCCGAAGCCGGUGGCCUAACCACUUAUGUGGAAGGAGCCGUCUAAGGCAGGGCAGAUGACUGGGGUGAAGUCGUAACAAGGUACC